rnacentral:rRNA from 1 species
AUUGAACGCUGGCGGUAUGCUUAACACAUGCAAGUCGAACGAUGAGAAAGAGCUUGCUCUUUCGAUUAGUGGCGGACGGGUGCGUAACGCGUAGGAAUCUACCUAUUAGUGGGGGACAACUUAGGGAAACUUAAGCUAAUACCGCAUACGCCCUACGGGGGAAAGAAGUGGAUCGCAAGACCUUUUGCUAAUAGAUGAGCCUGCGUAGGAUUAGCUAGUUGGUGGGGUAAAAGCUCACAAAGGCGACGAUCCUUAACUGGUUUGAGAGAAUGAUCAGUCACACUGGAACUGAGACACGGUCCAGACUCCUACGGGAGGCAGAAGUGGGGAAUAUUGGACAAUGGGCGAAAGCCUGAUCCAGCAAUACCGCGUGUGUGAAGAAGGCCUUAGGGUUGUAAAGCACUUUCAAUUGGAAGGAAAACCUCGAAGCUAAUACCUUCGAGUUUGACAUUACCUUUAGAAGAAGCACCGGCUAACUCCGUGCCAGCCGCCGCCGUAA